GACGAACGCUGGCGGCGUGCUUAACACAUGCAAGUCGAACGGAAAGGCCCUGCUUUUGUGGGGUGCUCGAGUGGCGAACGGGUGAGUAACACGUGAGUAACCUGCCCUUGACUUUGGGAUAACUUCAGGAAACUGGGGCUAAUACCGGAUAGGAGCUCCUGCUGCAUGGUGGGGGUUGGAAAGUUUCGGCGGUUGGGGAUGGACUCGCGGCUUAUCAGCUUGUUGGUGGGGUAGUGGCUUACCAAGGCUUUGACGGGUAGCCGGCCUGAGAGGGUGACCGGCCACAUUGGGACUGAGAUACGGCCCAGACUCCUACGGGAGGCAGCAUUGGGGAAUAUUGCACAAUGGGCGGAAGCCUGAUGCAGCAACGCCGCGUGCGGGAUGACGGCCUUCGGGUUGUAACCCGCUUUCGCCUGUGACGAAGCGUGAGUGACGGUAAUGGGUAAAGAAGCACCGGCUAACUACGUG
rnacentral:rRNA from 1 species